rnacentral:rRNA from 1 species
CAUGCAAGUCGAACGCGAAAGUGGAGCAAUCCAUGAGUAGAGUGGCAAACGGGUGAGUAACGCGUGGGUGACCUGCCUUCGAGCGGGGGAUAACGUUCCGAAAGGGACGCUAAUACCGCAUGACAUCCUGCCUUUGAAGAGGCGGAGAUCAAAGCUGGGGAUCGCAAGACCUAGCACUCGAUGAGGGGCCCGCGUCUGAUUAGCUAGUUGGUGGGGUAACGGCUCACCAAGGCAACGAUCAGUAUCCGGCCUGAGAGGGCGGACGGACACACUGGGACUGAGACACGGCCCAGACUCCUACGGGAGGCAGCAGUGGGGAAUUGUUCGCAAUGGGCGCAAGCCUGACGACGCAACGCCGCGUGGAGGAUGAAGAUCUUCGGGUCGUAAACUCCUUUCAAUCGAGACGAACGGCCUCCGGGUAAACAAUCCGGAGGAGUGACGGUACCGAGAGAAGAAGCCCCGGCUAACUCCGUGCCAGCAGCCGCGGUAAUACGGGGGGGGCAAGCGUUGUUCGGAAUUACUGGGCGUAAAGGGCUCGUAGGCGGCCAACUAAGUCAGACGUGAAAUCCCUCGGCUUAACCGGGGAACUGCGUCUGAUACUGGAUGGCUUGAGUUUGGGAGAGGGAUGCGGAAUUCCAGGUGUAGCGG